UACGUAGGGGGCAAGCGUUGUCCGGAAUUAUUGGGCGUAAGGCGCGCGCAGGCGGUUCUUUAAGUCUGAUGUGAAAGCCCACGGCUCAACCGUGGAGGGUCAUUGGGAACUGGGGAACUUGAGUACAGAAGAGGAAAGUGGAAUUCCAUGUGUAGCGGUGAAAUGCAUAGAGAUGUGGAGGAACACCAGUGGCGAAGGCGACUUUCUGGUCUGUAACUGACGCUGAGGCGCGAAAGCGUGGGGAGCAAACAGG
rnacentral:misc_RNA from 1 species